rnacentral:tRNA from 1 species
GCAUCGAGGUGGACGAGUUGCACCACCCGGUGUUCAUCGCCGGCCGCCGGCUGGUGCCGGACACCGAAGGUGCCGGCACCUUCCGCGGCGCGCC